rnacentral:rRNA from 1 species
CCUGCGGAAGGAUCAUUGCCGAUGCCUCAACACAGAGAGACCCGCGGACCCGUUUUGCCACCGGGGACGGUCGGAGCCGCCCAGCAGCCCGCCCGCCCCAAAUGUCGGGACCGAGCCACGCCCCGGCGCAAUAACAACAAACCCCGGCGCGGAACGCGCCAAGGAAGCAACAAUCGCAGGGCGCGCCCCCGUCGGCCCGGCAACGGUGCCCGUACGGGCGACGCCGCAACACUCGAGUCCAAAACGACUCUCGGCAACGGAUAUCUCGGCUCUUGCAUCGAUGAAGAACGUAGCGAAAUGCGAUACUUGGUGUGAAUUGCAGAAUCCCGUGAACCAUCGAGUCUUUGAACGCAAGUUGCGCCCGAAGCCAUUAGGCUAAGGGCACGCCUGCCUGGGUGUCACCAAUCGCUGCCCCCCCAACCCCCUGUGCCCGUGGCCAGGGAGCGGGGCGAAUGCUGGCCUCCCGUGAGCACCGCCUCGCGGUUGGCUGAAAAACGGGCCCGUGGUGGAUUCAGCGCCACGACAGACGGUGGUUGAGCGUGCUCUCUAGGCCAGUCGUGCGUGCGACCCCCACCAGUUCCGCGCCCAGCGACCCGCGGGCGACGACCCACGACGCGACCUCAGGUCAGGCGGGGCUACCCGCUGAGUUUAAGC